GGGAGAGAACAAACAGGACAGGAGGAAGCACUGGUGGACGUUAGGGUGAGAAUGGAGCAUUUGGAAGCUGAACAUCAAACCAGAGGUUACCCUGCUGACCGCCGAAGCUGCUUCAAAUGUGCGGUUGUUUUGGCAACAGUGACGGGAUUGGUCACUUUCGUUCUGGUGGGGGGCUUUUUACUGCAUUUAUUCCUGUCAGACAGCCAGGAAGCCCAACCAUGUAGUGAUGCUGCAAAAUUGAAUGUAAACCCUAAACUAGGAAACAGACAAGGAAGCUAUGACUUCUUCAAGGUUGAAAAACCUGCAACCUACCUAAUCUACGUAUGGCUGAAGUUCUCAACAGACACAAAAGAAGAGGUCACUCUCAUACACAAGUUUGGCAACGAUGACAGAACCCUGAAGAAGACGAGUGCCAGCAAUAGAGAGAUCUUCUUUUUAGAAAGGGUCAAACUGGUUGAUGGCAGUUUGAGCUUUAACAUCAAGUCUAACUACACUGACAGCUCGAUCUUUGUCUAUAAGCUCUGACCAAGAUGAAAUCAGACUUCCACAUGUGAGCGAUAAAAACUGCUGUCAGGGCUUCCUGUUUACAUACGGCAUAACCUUGUAUUACAUUUCUUAAAGCUCAAGAUGUUGUGCAAUUUCUCUGGAUCUAUGUUUGCACUUAUCAGGAGUUAGUUUCAUGAAAGGGGAAGUUGUUCUACACAGCUAUGUUUGCUGUGGAGAGAGUGGGUGUCUUUGCCCUGAUUUCUCAAGAAUCACAAGUUUGGGAUGUGAUUUUUGGAUCAAGGAGUGCUGACUGAGAAACUACUCUGUUGUAGCAGAAAAAUGUUAACGAUUGAAAGCAGAAAGUUCCAUACGUUGAAGUUGUUCAUUGAAUUUGAAAUACAUAAAUAUGUUGAGAAGAAAUUCUAAAUUGAAAGAUGUCUCAGAACUGUAAUGUUCACUCAUAAUGUGCUCUACUGUUUUAAAGUGUCUUGUUAGUCUCUCUGAUUGAUUUCUGUCACCUGGAAGGAUGACCGACCAGGCACAUGUUUCAUUUCUAAUUCACCGUUUGUCAUAUUAAAGCUUGUAAAAUUGACACCGGAGAAGGCUUUAAUACACAUAUAUCUGUGCAAUUUGCUUACUGUGAAUAUUGCUUGCAUUGUAUUACAUUUGAUUCUGUUGUGAGUUUACUGGCAGUUAGAUGUAAACAUACUGUAUUGGCAUGCCAUAUUGCUAUUCGUCCAGAAUUGUAUGCUAUCCAAAUAGCAGUAGCAGUAACAGUUUACUAUAAUCAAUGUGUGA